rnacentral:tRNA from 1 species
UAUAUGGUGGUGUAAUGUUUUAAGCACGAUAAAUCUUGAGUUUGUUGGUCUGGGUGAUUCUUGACAUAUAG